GAGUUUAAAGCAUUGUUAAUUUCACCAAAACACUUAGAGCAUCAUUGUUAUAUUGUAUGUAUAAAUAUGUUAGUGUACUGGUUUUGUGUGGUGCGAGUGUUGCGUCAGUGUGUGCUGGAGCGUGGUGACGUCAUCACGUCACGGUGCGUGUGCGCUCUCGUCCAUACCUGUUUCUGGCAUGGACGAGGUGAGACGUAAAAUGUGCUCUUUCCCCGAGAGUUGUGAGAAGUUGGUGUACUGUGUCGUCGCAGACUGUGCUGUGUUGUGUGUAGUAUCAUGGAUGUUGAGUGAGAGUUUUCGCUGGUUGUUUCGUGUACUUUGGAACUUUAAUUGCUGACAAGGUGGAAGCUAGCUUUGCUAGCACAGGUCGGCUAGCGGCCGUCUUUUCAUGUCUGCACAUGUGCAAUCCAUUUAGUACAGGGGUCAGGAACCUUUUUGACUAAGAGAGCCAUGAAAGCCGCAUUUUUUAAAAUGUAUUUCCGUGAGAGCCACAUCAUAUUUUGUAACACUGAGUACAACUAAAUGUGUGCAUUUUUAAGCAAGACCAACAAUUUCAGAAUACAAUAUGUCGUUGAAUUGAUUAUUUUUAAUAACACAGUUCUACUGAAGCUAAACAAUAUUAAGUAAAAUAUUUCUAACCAUGAAUGCAACUUCUGGUUCUGCAUGGUUUUACAUCGUACUCCGCAUCGGUCUUUUUGCCAUCUUCUUCAUCAAAAGGUUUUGCUGUGCAGAAUUAGCUAGCUGACUGUUUAAAGGAGCGAAGCUUACUUCUUGACCUCUCAAUGACCCGGGUAGGCUACCACAUUAUUCAAUAAUCAAGUUUUGGUGUUUGACCUGAAAAGUAUGGGAAGGACGGCUGGCAUGGGCUCUGGCCACCCGCAUGCCUCUAGAACAUGGAUGGAUAGAUUAAAAUGCAUGUCAAAGUUUUAUAUUUUGAACGUUAUUUUUAAUACUGUGAUUUCUAUCAUGUUUUACUUUAAAAUGUCCGUAAAAAAUAAAAAAUAAAGACAUUUGAUGGUGUUAAGAAAUGUCUGGGAGCCAGAUGCAGUCAUCAAAAGAGCCACAUCUGGCUCCCGAGCCAUAGGUUCCCUACCCCUGAUUUAGUAUCUCCUUUUUGAUUCCCAGGGGAACCAGGGAAUGCAUGGAGGAGCACACAGCUCACUCAUUGUAUGUUUCGCACAGGUAUGUCAUUGCACCCGUUGUACAUUUGUAUUAUUUCAAAGUUGUAUUGUAUCGUGUGCCAUGUGCUGUGUUCCAAUGAGUAUUCUAUACCUGUUUCUGGCAUGGACGAGGGGAACCAGGGAAUGCAUGGAGGAGCACACAGCUCACUCAUUGUAUGUUUCGCACAGAAAUAAAAGACCUCAAAGACCAUCAAGUCUCCUUCCUUCAUAACCCACCAGAACACAACGCAGAGGAAACGCUUGGAUGUGAUCGCUGGAGUGGACACAAGGGGGCACUGGAGCUCCACUACGCCCCCCAGAGGGAGGUCAGCUGUCACUCACACACACACACACUUUCUGCCAGAAACUUGCAAGAAUGUGGAGGGACGUCUCCUACAAAGCGCGUGCGUGGGGUGCAUGUCGGGGGUGUACGUAGGGGCGUACAAACAUUUCAGUAUUGUUUGUGGGGAGUCACCAUCUGCGUAUGUUAGCAGAUUUGUUAGCAUGAUGACAGCAUGACGUUAGCAUUGGUGUUAUCACGUACUGUAUGCUAGCAUGAUGUUAACAUGAGGUUCCAUGUCUGCCACCAUCAUGUUAUUGUGUGUUAUCAUUUUAGCGUGUAUAUCAGCAUGAUGUUAGCAUCUAUGCUACCAUGGAUGUCUGUAAGAAGUGCCUGAUGUAAACGUACUAAUGUGCGUGUACGGAAGUGUCUCUUAGCGUGCGAUUGGCCGGUCUAGAGUGUUAUGACAGUGCCGUCCUCCUCAAGACUCCGCCUACUCACGGCUCUGUCUGGCGACGGCGUGGAGCGCUUGGCCCUACUCAGGGAGCCACUGCUGGCACUAGCCAUCAUGCCGCCGUUGACUGAGAGCGGGGGAGGCGAGGCGGCGGCUCGCAGGUUGAGGUGUGGUUCGUAGCGAGGAAGCAGCGGCGGCGGCGGCACAGUGUAGUCGGACAGCAUGUGGUGGACAGGCUCGCUGUCGCCACCCGCCUCGAUCACCAGGUCCUCGUCGUCCUCGUCACUGUCCAUCACGCCCACUGGGAAGUUCUGGAUGAUGUGUGAUGGCAAAGAGGCUGCGGCGGCGAGGCUGGCGGAUGAGGAGUAGCCGUAGAAGCUGGCCCCGCUGUCCGAGGAGCGUCCCGAGCUACCGGACGCUCCGCCGCUGCCUCGGACGAUGUUGUUCCGCUGGUUGGCCGGCUUUACGGUGAUGAUGAGCUUGUGGCUGUUAGCGAUCAUCAUGUCUGUCACUUGGUCCAGAGACUUGCCGGCCACCUCGAUGCCGUUCACCUCCAGCACCUCGUCAUUGACGGCCAGAAGACCCGUGCUCUCCGCCAGGCCGCCGGGAACCAUCCGGGAGAUAAAAAUGCCCGGCACCUUCUCCAAGCCCUGCGGCGUGACCCUCACGCUGGACCCGUCGCGGAUGUAGAAGCCCAGAGGCUUUUCCUGGCCGUGCUUGUACAGGCGUACCCGGCGGUGCGUCUCGGGCAGGAUGUCCACAUCGAUGAUGGACGAGACGGGGCGGAAGUCCCUCGGGAGGCUGAUGAUAACCGGCGGCUUCUUCCUGUUGGCGUCGGGCCGCAGGAGCACCGCCGACAGCACCGUGUUUUUCUUUCUCGUCAGCGAGUCACUUCCCAAAUAAUCUGCUUCCUCUGCAAAAAACACAAGACAGAAAACAUCAUCAUCACACCCACAUAGUGCACAGCAAUGCAUGAUGGGAAGCAGACAAGAUAUUCUUGCACCCUCAUAUUGGUACUUGUCUUGUAUGUUCCUGACCUGCCUUUUGUGGGUUAAGUUGCUGUGUGAUGAUUUUAGUGUUCUCUUAGACGACACCGUGAGUCAGACUAUUGUGUUGAGUAAUGACCAAUCUUAGCUUCAGGCUGAUUUGUGAGCAAGGACAGGACAGAAAGGUUGGUCUUGGUAAGGAGGUGUGGUCCCCCAUUGAUUGGCAGUCAAUGAACCAAUCACUUGUAACUCUUAGCAAGUCAUGAUGAUGAAACUCAGCAAAAUGUAAGGAUGACUGAUGUUCACUCACACGGCCAUCACGCUGCUGUGCUUCACAUUCACGGUGCAGCUGGCAGUUCCUGUGAUUGCUGACCUCAGGCCCAAGACACUUGGUGAAUAACUUUGAUCUUAGCAAGGAAACACUCCAAGAAAUCAGAGGAAUUGAAGAGCUUCGUUGAUGCUUAGCUGGCUUUGUGCAGAGGGUCCAGGUCCUGAGUGUGUUAAGUGUCCAUCAUGAGCCACAGCAUGGCCUCCAAGAUAAAAGGCAACAAGGCCGAGCUUGUGCUCUUCUGGAAACUGUCAGCUUUGUUGAUGACAAGCCUGAACAUUCACCACCAGCCGCUGUGCUGACACGUUCCUGACACACACUGGCACAUAGUGUGUGUGUGUGUGUGUGUGUGUGUGUGUGCCAGGAAAAGGCAAAGCGAGUGCAGGAAGACACGAGAAAGACGCCGAGGAGCAACACUGACAGAAGAAAGACAGAAAGUUGGCGUGCAGAAAGUCCAACCUUCAGGCUGAUCAGCCAUCUUUAAAGAGCCCCACCCGCACGUAACCUGACCCUUUUUCAUAAGUGACAGGUCACACCAAACCCCCUCCCCCAGCGAGGGCCACAUAGGAUGCACUGCUGGCACGCCACCGAUGCUAACAUAUGCUAACAUGCAAUGUGCAUACUUCAAAACAAAACAGCAUCUCAGCUUUGUCAUAUCCAGUAGAUGACAAAUAUACUCUAUAUCUUUAUUUCUAAAGAUAAACUAUAUACUCUAUAUCUUUUUCACAUUUUACUAUUGGUUUCUUAUUCCAUAAUCAUAUUAUGACUUUAUUCCCGUAAUGUUAUGACUUUAUUCCCAUCAUAUUAUGACUUUAUUCCCAUAAUAUCAUGACUUUAUUACCAUCAUAUUAUGACUUUAUUCCCAUUAUAUUAUGACUUUAUUUCCAUAACAUUAUGACUUUAUUCCCAUAAUAUUAUGACUUUAUUCCCAUCAUAUUAUGACUUUAUUCCCAUAAUAUUAUAACUUUAUUCCCAUAAUAUUAUGACUUUAUUCCCAUAAUAUUGUGACUUUAUUCCCACAAUAUUAUGACUUUAUUCCCCAACCUAAUUUUCCAAAAAUGAUGAUCUUAAUUUUGUUUAUUCUGACUUAUUAAAAAAUCCUUUCAUAUUUCAUGUCUAUGCUACUAAAAUGAAUUAUUUUUCCUCAUAUUAUUAUAAGAUUAUUCUUGUAAAACUGCAACUUCCCCCCCUCCUAAUUAUGACUUUAUAAGCAUAAUAUUUUGUGCUUUUUCCACCAGCUAAUAUUAUAAAAAUAAAAAACCUUCCUUUGUUGUUUUGUUUUUCAUAAUUUUCAUAACUUGAAAGAAGAAUGUGCUUAAUGCUCCUAGAAAAACGUAUUGCUACGUUAUUUGUACUAUUGUAUUUCUACAUUUUCUACAUUUUACAUGACACCUUUGGUGUUAUUCAUGUUGGAACUUCAUUCUUGGAAAAUGACUGCUGAUCUUUGGAAAUACAACACAUCAGCAGCCGAUCCUGGUCCUGAACAUCCAAUCAGGACAUCCCUAAUGUGUACCCAGCUUUGGGUCCAUAAGUACAUAUUGGUGGGUCCAAUGGUACCAAUGGUAAGUACCCAUGGUAAGUAUGCGUGGUCAGGUCCAUAAGUACCCAUGGUAAGUACGCGUGGUCGGGUCCAUAAGUACCCAUGGUAAGUACGCGUGGUCGGGUCCAUAAGUACCCAUGGUAAGUACGCGUGGUCGGGUCCAUAAGUACCCAUGGUAAGUACGCGUGGUCAGGUCCAUAAGUACCCAUGGUAAGUACGCGUGAUCGGGUCCAUAAGUACCCAUGGUAAGUACCCGUGCUAAGUACCCAUGGUAAGUAUCCGUGGUAAGUACCCGUGGUAAGUACGCGUGGUUGGGUCCAUAAGUACCUAUAGUAAGUACCCGUGAUAAGUACCCAUGGUAAGUACCCGUGGUAAGUACGCGUGGUCGGGUCCAUAUGUACCCAGGGUAAGUACGCGUGGUCAGGUCCAUAAGUACCCAUGGUAAGUACGCGUGGUCAGGUCCAUAAGUACCCAUAGUAAGUACCCAUGGUAAGUACGCGUGGUCAGGUCCAUAAGUACCCAUGGUAAGUACCCAUGGUAAGUACCCGUGGUAAGUACCCAUGGUAAGUACGCGUGGUUGGGUCCAUAAGUACCCAUAGUAAGUACCCGUGAUAAGUACCCAUGGUAAGUACCUGUGGUUGGGUCCAUAAGUACUCAUAGUAAGUACCUGUGGUAAGUACCCGUGGUAAGUGCGCGUGGUCGGGUCCAUAAGUACCCAUGGUAAGUACCCAUAGUAAGUACCCAUGGUAAGUAUGCGUGGUCGGGUCCAUAAGUACCCAUAGUAAGUACCCAUGGUAAGUACGCGUGGUCGGGUCCAUCAGCAGCAGCAGUGAGACAGCCAGGCUGUGUAUGAGCUGCUGUCUGUCCAAAGUGUCCGUUCCACACUUUGCACACUCCUUUCUUUCGUCUGUCUUCUUUCCCCAGCUUGGGCCCCACUCUGCAUUCCUAACUCACUAAUAGCAUUGCCGCUAACCUCCUCUCAGUACGGCUGAAUUCCAAUCAGACUUCCAUGAGACUCCACCCCCCUUUCACUGCUCUAAUGACCACGAGCCUUGACCCCCCGUUCCAUGCCCCCAGUACACACAACAUGCUACCAUCCUCCUUCCUCUUCCCUUCUGGGCACCACACACAGGAAGUGAUGUUGCCUCUCGUCCGUUGGCUUGCAGGGGAUCCUGCGAGAUAGGCCAUUAUCACCAGUCACGCCCAGCCAAGCGACACGCAUGUGAAAGUCUGUGCUCGUGCACGUCAUCGUGCGCAUGCUGGCUUGCGACGUGAUCCCAGAAAGUUGGAAAAUGUUCAACUUUUCAAGUCUGUGGCUCAGACGAGGACCAAUGAGUGGACGAGAUGCUAAAUGUGCGCUCUGGCAGGUAACCAAGGGGAAACAUGAUGGACGCUUGAGAAACAAAGAAGAAGGGAAGGCGUUGGCGCCACCGCAAACAUAUCAGGUGACCAUUCAAAGAUGUGAAGGCAACGACGCCCUGGCACAGAAUGAACACAAGG